ACGGGUGAGUAACACGUGGGCAAUCUGCCCUUCACUCUGGGACAAGCCCUGGAAACGGGGUCUAAUACCGGAUAACACUCCUGCCUGCAUGGGCGGGGGUUAAAAGCUCCGGCGGUGAAGGAUGAGCCCGCGGCCUAUCAGCUUGUUGGUGGGGUAAUGGCCUACCAAGGCGACGACGGGUAGCCGGCCUGAGAGGGCGACCGGCCACACUGGGACUGAGACACGGCCCAGACUCCUACGGGAGGCAGCAGUGGGGAAUAUUGCACAAUGGGCGAAAGCCUGAUGCAGCGACGCCGCGUGAGGGAUGACGGCCUUCGGGUUGUAAACCUCUUUCAGCAGGGAAGAAGCGAAAGUGACGGUACCUGCAGAAGAAGCGCCGGCUAACUACGUGCCAGCAGCCGCGGUAAUACGUAGGGCGCAAGCGUUGUCCGGAAUUAUUGGGCGUAAAGAGCUCGUAGGCGGCUUGUCGCGUCGGAUGUGAAAGCCCGGGGCUUAACCCCGGGUCUGCAUUCGAUACGGGCAGGCUAGAGUGUGGUAGGGGAGAUCGGAAUUCCUGGUGUAGCGGUGAAAUGCGCAGA
rnacentral:rRNA from 2 species